GUAAACCACACUGGGCUGGUGGAAGACAGCUGGGCGUGGGAAGAAGAGAAGAAAACACACCCUAGGAGCUUUUGCAGCUCCAAGUUGGGGUGAAGGGUUCUAGUCAGAUUUGCCUUGGUGUGACUCUGGAAAAUUGGACCAGCGCUGCCCGCUUCAACACACGAGAUCACCGAGUGAAAAGAGGACGGUUUUCCUGAAUGGGGAGGAACGGAGAUUUCAUUUUGAGGAUCCAUCAGUCUCUGAGCAGGGGGAUGGCAAGAUGCUGUCUUCCCUGGGUUUGAUUUCCUGACGACCAGAGGAGGGAAGAGCGGACUCUUUGGCUGGGGAGGAGGGCAUGGAAGAGAGGGACUGUUGAUCUAACUGGGAAGGGGAUCUCUCUCUCUCUCUCUCCUGCUUUGCCACAAUGUCCGUGAUGAUUUCGGCUCACGAGAAGGUGACCACCUCCUUCUCCACAGCAGCCACAGCCGUCAGCAAGCUGCUCCUAGGUGCUCCAGGCUGGGACCACGGCUCCACUGUGUUACAGGCACAGCAAGACACAGCCCUAGCCCCAAAGAGUUUACAAUCUUGACUGAAGACAAGAUGCCACAGUUCCUACUACAUCAACAUCUAGACACUGUGGGCAAGAAGCACAGUUGUGCUCAUCGGUAAGUCACACAGCUUUGUAUAAUAGAAUCUGAUGGAAUAUAGCUUUAGAAUAUUGCAGUUAUCUAUUCAUUUUUUUUGUUUUUUUUUAAUUGCAACCAAGAUUGCCACUAAAGACAUGACUGUGGGAUCCGGAUCUUGGUAUG